CAAGAGACUUCUGAGCCUGAGAGAUGCCAAGGUAGAAAGGACAAGACUAAAAACACUGAGAAAGAGCAUUACCAAAGCAAGAGGGAACAUGCUCCUAGUGAAGAGAAGGAGAGUCAAAAAGCAGGUCCUUCCAGCAAGAGAAGGAUCAACUUGAAUACAAAGAAUGCAAACUUGAGCUCCUGAUUGGCUUCAUGCUGAACUCUGUGCUGUUCUUGUCCUACUCUUGGUCUCUCCAUAGAUACUAUGGUUUAAAUCCAAAUAGAAUCAUGCGAUGAGGAAGAUCUCACUGCAACAAAUUCAACAUCUAAAAUCAAAAUUUACAUUUUCCGUGAUUUUCUUCCUGAGCAGAAAUGUGCAGUACUCCUU